rnacentral:rRNA from 1 species
AAAAUCCGGGCUAUCGUUAACUCCGAGAGGCGAGUACGAGAGGCUUAGCCUCGCAAAGUGAUUGAGCCCAUGCUCCCAAGAAAAACCUCUAGUGAGUUCUGUGGGUGACCGUACCGGAAACCGACGCAGGUGGGUGGGGUGAGCAACCCGAGGCGCUUGAGAGAACCGUCGUUAAGGAACUCGGCAAAAUAACCCCGUAACUUCGGGAGAAGGGGUGCCUCAUUAAGUUGAAAGGGCUUGCCCCUGGAGGCUGAAGAGGCCGCAGAGAAAUGGCUCAAGCGACUGUUUACUUAAAACACAGGACUCUGCUAACGCGCAAGCGGAUGUAUAGGGUCUGACGCCUGCCCGGUGCUGGAAGGUUAAGGGGAGGGGUUAGUGGCGGUAACGCUGUGAAGCUCUGAACUGAAGCCCCAGUAAACGGCGGCCGUAACUAUAACGGUCCUAAGGUAGCGAAAUUCCUUGUCGGGUAAGUUCCGACCUGCAUGAAUGGCGUAACGACUUGAGCGCUCUCUCAACGACGGACUCAGUGAAAUUGUAGUGCCAGUGAAAAUGCUGGCUACCCACGACGGGACGGAAAGACCCCGUGCAGCUUUACUAUAACCUGUCAUUGGAGUUUGAUGUUGGAUGUGUAGGAUAGGUGGGAGGCUAUGAAGCGGGAGCGCUAGCUCUCGUGGAGCCACCGUUGAAAUACCACCCUUCUUUCAUUGGGCUUCUAACCUCAGACCGUUAUCCGGUUGGGGAACAGUGAUAGGCGGGUAGUUUGACUGGGGCGGUCGCCUCCUAAAAUGUAACGGAGGCGCCCAAAGGUCCCCUCAGGCUGGAUGGAAACCAGUCAUCGAGUGCAAAGGCAUAAGGGGGCUUGACUGCGAGAGGGACACCUCGAGCAGGUGCGAAAGCAGGGCUUAGUGAUCCGGCGGUGCCACGUGGAAGGGCCGUCGCUCAACGGAUAAAAGCUACGCCGGGGAUCACAGGCUGAUCCCCCCCAAGAGUUCACAUCGACGGGGAGGUUUGGCACCUCGAUGUCGGCUCGUCGCAUCCUGGGGCUGAAGAAGGUCCCAAGGGUUGGGCUGUUCGCCCAUUAAAGCGGUCCGCGAGCUGGGUUUAGAACGUCGUGAGACAGUUCGGUCCCUAUCUGUCGUGGGCGUAGGAGACUUGAGGGAAGCUGUCCCCAGUACGAGAGGACCGGGAUGGACGCACCUCUGGUGUAUGAGUUGUCGCGCCAGCGGCAUCGCUCGGUAGCCAUGUGCGGAAGGGAUAACCGCUGAAAGCAUCUAAGCGGGAAGCCCCCCCCGAGAUGAGGUCUCCCUGAAGGCCCCUCGUAGACUACGAGGUUGAUAGGCGGGAGGUGUAAGCACAGUAAUGUGUUCAGCUGACCCGUACUAAUCGGCCGUUCGGCUUGACC